ensembl:lincRNA
AGAAUACAGGAAACUUAGGCAAAUUGUUGCACCACAUGGAUAUGAGAAAUAAUGAAUAUUAUUUACUCGGAUUCAGGAAACAUAUAUCCAAGCUGAGCAAUUUAGGACACUUCACUGAAGAGACAGAGACAUGAGGUGUACAUUCAACUGAAGUGUCACUGUAAUUGUGUACCUUCUCAGUUACUGGGCAAGUUAAUGAACAUGAUGAAUGUUUGCAGUAUAAUGGUGUAAAUCAUUUGGAUAUCUUGCAUAAAAGACAAGUGGGUGCAUGUGCCACCUGCUUUGAGAUUUUCCCAGGUGAUUGAGUUUCCCCUCUGAUUUUUGAUCACAUUUGUCGUGAUCACUUGGGAUACCCUUUUUGAUAUUGACACUAAUUUAUUUUCUUUUAGAUAUACGAGAAAUCAUAUUAUGUUUGAAAUAGUUAGGAAUAUAUCGUGACACAUCAAUGCCUGUUUUCUUUAGUAUAUUUCUGUCAUGCUCCUGGCUUAAGACAUAAAGUAGAAAACAUCAAAGCCUACACUAAUACAGGCAGGCGGAUACAGCUUGAUGCUAACACCGCAUGAAUGUAUGGAAAACUUUAUCAUAUUUACAUAUGAGUGAUUAUCCCUUUUGCUUUUCAGUGUCUUCUCAGAAACAACCAGCCUUGAAGGUAAUUAAACUUUCAUUUAUAUUGUGAACAAGUAAAUCUAUAGUCUAUGAAACAUGCUUCAUUUAUUUAUUUAUUUAUUAUUUUCUUUCAAAUUCCAUUCAGGCUACAACUGACGAGGAAGAUUCUGUUUCGAAUAUAGCCACAGAAAUAAAGGAUGGAGAAAAAUCUGGGACAGUGUCUUCUCAGAAACAACCAGCCUUGAAGGCUACAACUGACGGGGAAGAUUCUGUUUCGAUUAUAGCCACAGAAAUAAAGGAUGGAGAAAAAUCUGGGACAGGUAAUUUUGCAAAAGACAUUUAAUGUCACAUUCUAUCCAGAUAGAAAAGAACUUCUCUACCCUGAAUAAAUCAGCGGAGGGCGGUUGGGGGGGCUCGCCAAAGCUGCACAUUCUGAUCCAGCAGUCCUGAGAGUCUUCAUUUGUAAUAAAUUCUUGGGUGACGCUAAUGCUGCUGGCUUGGAACGUGAUCUUUGCAGUAAGAUUAUACACUUCCCCACGUUGAAAUUGGGAAGAAGAAAUAUGGAGAGAGGUUCAAGACAUAAGGGGCUCUGGGGAACAGCAUAGUUUUGCAUUAAUUCUACAGCAUGGUUUCACUAAGGGUGGAAGGAGAAAGAGAGGAAGUAUAGAUUUUACAGACGUCACAUCGUACUGCUAAGAACAGACAGAAAACUUGUUGUAAUAACCCGUACACACUGUAGGAGAACUAAGGAGACCCCUGGUGUAGCAAUCAUUUUCCCAAGGAAGACGGAUUGUGAGGCAGGAAGGUGUGAAAAGAGGCAGUCAUUUAUAUAAUUUUGGGGUUUCCGCUGAGGAAACCUGAGUGAACUCACUUCAGAUGCAUUUGGAAUAUUUUAAUAAAAAAUACUUGAUUUUGGCUGCUGCAGGAACUGCUGGAAGAAGGAAACAAUCCUAGAAUUGGCAUAAAAACCACACUGACUCAUUACUCCUCUUGGUUACUAGGAGGCAUCAGAGAUACAUGUUUUUGUGGAUUGUAGUUACAAAAAUGAGAUAAUCUUGAAUAUGAAUACAUUGGCUUCCUUCUUCAAGGAGCUACCUCUUGGAUACAAUAGCUAUUUAAUGAAACUUCUUUAGAGAACAACAUGAUACUCCCAACAAGGCUAUUUGAGAAACAAAAAUUAUGCUGGAUUCUAAUUAACUCCUAAAAUGGUCAUUUUCAAUGAAUAUUGCAGUGAUUUCUGAAUGAAAAACUGAUUAAUAUCUAAUGCUUGUAGCCAUUUUACUUUGUAGAAGUAUGUCAAAGUUGAUAAUUGAUGAUAUUUUUAUUGAGGCUAAUAUAUUAUCCUUUGGUGCCAAGAGUGGAUGAAGAAACUUUCGGAAGCCUAAACUAGUGGAUACAUGAAACUUAGGCAAAUUAUUACACUACAUGGGUGUGAGAGAUAAUGAAUAUUAUCUACUAGGUAUCAGCAAACAGAUAUCCAAGGUGAUCAAUUCAGGACACUUCCACUGAAGAGAUGUGAAGU